ensembl:lncRNA
GGAACCGAGAGAGUAGAAGGGUGGGUGUAGAGGAGGGCUGGACUAAGCGAAGGGUUGGACGGGGUGCGCAUGACAUCAUUGCUCCAGCUCCCGAGCGCUGACAGCUGUGGUCUCUCCAAGAGCGCGAGCUUCUGAGGGACAAAGUCCUCCUGCGAUACCUUCACGCGCGCCGAGCCAUCUGCAACCGCCACACCGGAUUUUAAAAGUAUUAUUCACCAACGCACCGAAAAGCAACCGAACCAACCCGUGAACCGCUCCUAUUUUGGAUCCGCCGCAGGGACGCACACACUUAACGGGAUUACUCUUUGUUUUAAUAAAGAAGAUGUGAUGUUUUAUAAGCUGACGGGGAAAAGAGACUCCACCGCUGACAAAAAGGUACGAACGAUUGAACAAAAACAAGACGAAAGGAAGACGCAGCUGGAACCGCUAGAGAUAUGGAGCUAAAGAGAUUUUGAAAACAUCUCCGUCGCAUGUCUUGAGGGAACACCUAAGAGGAAGAUUUCCAAUCCAAAUUUGGUUGCCGGAGAAAAUAAACAGCGAGUGACGACUUGUUCCUGAAGCUGUUCCUCACAAAAACACCCGUGCACGUACACGUACACACACACACACACACACACACACACACACACACACACACACACACACACACACACACACACACACACACACACACACACACACACACACACACACUAACAAUCUCAGUAGAUGUCCAAACAUUCAUGUAUGAUGUGGGAAUCCUUGGAUUUGAGGACCUCCUCAACAACCCUUGAGAGACAGCUGUCUUAACCCAGAAACACAGCGGUGUUCAAGAGGGAGAUCAACAUGACCGUACACAUCAGUUUGUUACUCACUGCUUCGCUCAAUAGUAAAUAGUUUUGGUUAAACCGAAAUAUGUUGAAUGAUUCAAGGGCACAAACUAGAGCUCUGGCUGCGAUGUAUGAACAAACAACGACCCGGCGUUGUUUAAAAUUCAAAUAAAAGUUGAUGUAGAGAGUCAGUCAACCAGGCUACAAAUUAAAAUGAGUGAGGGAUUUAGCGAUAAGUCAUGUUAUAAUGCAGGGUUUAAAACGGCCUGUCCCUCCCUGUAGUUUAUUCCUUGUAAGACAUUGAUCGCUAAUACGUGCAUGUUGCAAUAAGUGGUGUGGCAAGGACUGUAUGUAUCAUUAGCCUUCGAUUUCAAGCUGUGUUACACCACAGCUUUUUAAACCAAAUGGCGAUCUUUGUAUUGACUCCUCCUAAACACAGAGGAGGUAAAAUACCGCUUCCAAAUACCACUUUUACCACCAUGGUUUCCUUUUGCAUCCAGCUAAUGUGAAUAACGGUUUGGGCGGGGAAUGUUUUUAGCGAUCGAUUAGCCCCUCGCUAGCCUAGCCUGAAACAAACAACUGAAGUACCCUUUUUAUCUGAAUUUGGAGCCCAUUUCCGAACUGGUCUCGGGAGAGGCGUGCGUUGCUGGCUUUUAGCGAGGGCAUGCGGGAUGGG